AUCGACUGCACCGAGGUGCAGUCGAUGAUUACCCGAACAUCAUCUUACAAGAACACAACAACCUUUAAGGCCUUGAUUGGGAUUGCCCCUUGUAGUGCUGUGACUUUUGUGUCAAGUCUCUUCACCGGCUCCAUCUCCGACCCAGAGCUGACUGAACGAAGUGGACUGCUGGAUUUACUGGAGCCAGGAGAUGGCUGCAUGGCAGACAAGGGUUUCACCAUCGAGAAGCCACUAGCUGAUCGUGGGGCAACGCUGAUUAUACCACCCUUCAAGAUGACAGUUCACUGAAGAGGAUGCUCUGAAAACACAAGCAAUCGCUCGACUUCGAAUCCUCGUAGAAAGAGCAAUAGGCAGAGUCAAGGAAUACCGCAUCUGGGAACGCACUGUCCUUUCACCUUGUCUGCGACAGUCAAUCAGCUGUGGACCGUCUGCUGUGUGAUGACCAACUUCCAGGGACCACUUGAUUUAAAAGGCUACAUCCCUGUUGAAUAGUGUUUCUACUCAAACAUGUACCUAUAAAUAUAAUACAUAAAUAUUAAAACGAGAGGCACUGAACAUUUGGAGUGGUCCCUUCAUUUUUUCCGGAGCUGUAAUUUUGUACACUGAAAACAUUGUAUAUAUUGAAUGACAUGUAUGUAAUUGAAUGAGAAGUCUUUCAUCUACAAUCAAUUUUAAAGUCCAGUCAGUCCAUCCUGAAAGUAUUCAAAAUAAUGUUAAUAUAUAAUGUAGUAAAUGAUGUACUCAGAAAAAGGGAAUGAAUUAAAUCCUUUUAUUCUUUCA